rnacentral:rRNA from 1 species
AUGGAGCUUCACCGGACACCGUGGUGCUGCGUUGGAGCUCUUAGCGCACUGUUGAGAGCCGCAAUGGAGCUUCGUGGGGAUGUCAUCGGUGCUGCGUGGAAGUUUUUUCAUUCGUCGUCGCGGAACGCUCCUCCGCCGACCCGCGCAAGUUCCCCGAUGCUAAGGUACCUCGAGGAGUUCGCGCGGUGGUUCAACCCCCUCAGGCUGGUCCGGUUCGAGACGGAGGUGGUGAGCGUCCGCCGCAGCAGGGACGACGACGCGGGAUGGAGGGUGAGGCUCGCCUGCGCUGGUAGCGAGCUGGAGGAGGAGGUUAGUAAGCAGCAUCAGGAGGAGGAGCUUCCUCACUCCGCCCCGAAUCUACGGCUGCCCCCGCUAGCCAUGGACUCCGUCCUAGGGUUUCCGCCGCCGCCGCCGGAGAGGGGAGGAGAGGAGUGUAGAAGGACCAGAGCGAGAUGGCCGGAUGGCUCCUCGGGCAGCUCCUUGUCAUGGGUAGCGCCGUCGUCGGCAGGGCCGUGGUGCAGGCCUACCGCCAGACCAUCGUCACUGAGGAACAUCCUGUUGGCUACUUCCAAGCAUGAUGUGUACGUGAUGUAG